rnacentral:lncRNA from 1 species
CAGGAUCAGCCCAGUUCACCAUGUUGUAUUUCACUGUUGAGUCUCAGAGCUUUAAAUUUCUGGGGCUCUGUAGGAGUCAGAUCAAUGUUCCCCCCCCUUUUGCAAAUGUGGAAGUGAGUUAGAUAACUUCAUCAUGUUGUCCAAAGCCAUAGCAGGGCAGUGUCCGUGACGGAUUUAUAACUGUGGAGUUAGGGACUCCCGAUCCAGUGCUCUCAUGAGAUCACUCUGCCUGUCCUCCCCGUGUUCAGCCCAGAUGUUACUCGGGAUAAUUCCUCCCUCCAAACAAACAACAAAGUUCCUGCUAAUGCAGAGUCUGGACGUUGGGACGAGAUGUCAGCCUCGUCAUGAGGAUGAGGAUUAUUAUGGAAGACAGACACCGUCUCCAGCAUGGAGCCGGAAAUUGCUCAUCAAGGGAAGAGCUCAGGCGAGGAUGUUGUCGAUGGCUUUUUGUGAAUAAAGCAUUUAGUUCUGAAGGGAGCGUGUCAUCUCCUGCCCAGUGCUCGAGUAGAACAGCCAUUGUGCUCGCUGGCACUCCAUCAAACUGCUUCUUGGGCAUCGUUAUUGGAGCAGCUGAAAUGUCUAACAGUGAGCACAACCAAGACUUCCAGAUGGUGGAGCAAAUGGAAGAGACGGGCGAAAGAAAAGCUGGCGAUGGAAAAGGUCCAGAGUUCAACCCAAGUGGAGGCAAGGAGUCCCCAUCUGUGACUUCUGAGUCUACUCCCUUCCCAAAUUCUUAUGUCAACCAGCAUGCCAUGAGGAAAUUCUUUGUUACAAGGCCAGGAGCAUUUGACCAAGCCAUAGAAGAUCUAAAAAUCCAUGUGGUCAAGAAUUCGGGGGAAACUGCUCAGAGCUUCUGGCUUUUGUCCGAGUGAGUAGCCAUGAUGUAUGGGGCACUGGCUGAGGUGGUGGCUUUGUUAUGGGCUGUCAGAAAUAAAGCAACAAUGGGAGGGAAGGGGUGUCA